UUAGAACUAAUAAACAUCUGUAGAGUGAUUUUCGAUCUUUUUAGGCUUCCUAUUACACAUUCAGUGAAUAGUUCCAUGUUUUAAGUGAAUACACUUUUCCAGACUGGAUCCUCCUUUGGUCGUAAAAUGAUGACCUGUCUGCUAAAGGGGUUGAAAGCUGCUGAGGGCAGAGCGGGAAGAAUACCACAUCCCGAGGCAGCAGAAACAUGUGAUAGAGAGAAUGUGGUUUGAGGUGAAUGCCAGAAUCAACUAUCCAUUAAAGACAGCUUUGGUCCAGCUGGUGGACAUGGAGGAACUCGACAUGGAGGACAACACAUCCAGAUAUUUUGUCAAAUCUGACAUGUCAGAUGGCAGGAAGUGGCAUUACAAAUGUUGUUGAGGCAUGGAAUGCACACAGGAUCCCAGGGAAAGGAAUACCAAAUGACCUGGCAAAGGAAGUGUGUCCUGCAAAAGUCCCUGAGGACCUUCUGCCUGUUGGAGCUGCUGCAACUAAUCAUUAUCAACUUGGAUCUUGGAUGUGAUCCUUUCUGUUCAGAAGACAGCAAACAACAGACCGAAACUGAGUUUGGUUCUCACUUAUGUAUCUUG